rnacentral:rRNA from 1 species
AUUGAACGCUGGCGGCAUGCCUUACACAUGCAAGUCGAACGGCAGCACGGGAGCUUGCUCCUGGUGGCGAGUGGCGAACGGGUGAGUAAUGCAUCGGAACGUACCCGGAAGUGGGGGAUAACGUAGCGAAAGUUACGCUAAUACCGCAUAUUCUGUGAGCAGGAAAGUGGGGGAUCGCAAGACCUCACGCUUUUGGAGCGGCCGAUGUCGGAUUAGCUAGUUGGUGAGGUAAAGGCUCACCAAGGCGACGAUCCGUAGCGGGUAUGAGAGGAUGAUCCGCCACACUGGGACUGAGACACGGCCCAGACUCCUACGGGAGGCAGCAGUGGGGAAUUUUGGACAAUGGGGGCAACCCUGAUCCAGCCAUGCCGCGUGAGUGAAGAAGGCCUUCGGGUUGUAAAGCUCUUUCGCGAGGGAAGAAAGCGCACUGGUUAAUACCUGGUGUGGAUGACGGUACCUUGAUAAGAAGCACCGGCUAACUACGUGCCAGCCGCCGCAGUAACAC